rfam:Habropoda laboriosa contig2391, whole genome shotgun sequence.
UGGCGUAGCGCGCAAAGCCUCGGCUUGCUAAGCCGACGGUCCCGGGUUCGAUUCCCGG